rnacentral:rRNA from 1 species
AACGAACGCUGGCGGCAUGCCUAACACAUGCAAGUCGAACGAGACCUUCGGGUCUAGUGGCGCACGGGUGCGUAACGCGUGGGAACCUGCCUUUAGGUUCGGAAUACUCAGAGAAAUUUGAGCUAAUACCGGAUGAUGUCUUCGGACCAAAGAUUUAUCGCCUUUAGAUGGGCCCGCGUUGGAUUAGCUAGUUGGUGGGGUAAAGGCCUACCAAGGCGACGAUCCAUAGCUGGUCUGAGAGGAUGAUCAGCCACACUGGGACUGAGACACGGCCCAGACUCCUACGGGAGGCAGCAGUGGGGAAUAUUGGACAAUGGGCGAAAGCCUGAUCCAGCAAUGCCGCGUGAGUGAUGAAGGCCUUAGGGUUGUAAAGCUCUUUUACCCGAGAUGAUAAUGACAGUAUCGGGAGAAUAAGCUCCGGCUAACUCCGUG